AUGGAGUCAGAUGAAGAGAUGUAUCCUGAUGUGAGACCUAAACGUCAAAUACGUCGACCUGUCAGACUUCAGGACUUUGAAGUUGACUAUAUGGGAUAUAGUCAUCGUGAUCAGCACCAAUGGGGCCUCUCAUCCCCUGCCUUGGAUGGGAGGGCGUUCCCUUUCCAAACAGCCUACCCUCACUCUAGUGGCUUCUCUGGGAAUGCUGCUCACCCUGAGUUUCCUCAGCUAGCCCCAGACCACAGCCAGAGGAGGGAUUUGGAUGGGCUUAGCCAGCCUGCGCGGACACCCUCAUCCCAUCAGAGCCCAUAUUUGGAUUCUCGUUUUUCUGAGGAAAUCCGAGCUAUUCGAGAGGAGAAUACUAAACUGCUCCAAACACAACAGGCCUUUCAAACGGGCAUAAAGGAACUCAAUGAAGCACGGCGCGAGAUGAAAGAGCUACUGGAGGUAGCCCGCUCACUGAGAGCAGACCUGGCCCAAGUUAAUAGUCCAACCUCAAACUAUAGUAAUCCCACGUCUCCACAAGCUGAUGCUGUAGCCUCAAGGAGUUUCGCUGUUGCAGCACACUCAAAGGAAAUGGAGCAGGAGGACUGGCCUGAUCCUCCACCCUGGCCUGAACCUGAAGAGAACGUGUCAAGAGGGAUGUGCAAUCUCAGGGUUGAUGAACAAGAGCUAGACAAUAGACAUCACAAUCUUUCCCCUGAAGCUAGAGUAUGUAGGCCUUGUAAGCCUCCACUGCCUCCUCAGUAUCCCGCUCCUACUACCGAUAAAGGGAUAUCACCAUACCUCUCUACACGACCCUCUCAGUUGCUCACACACCCUGCCCCAGCUCAUGCACCUGUGAUGCAAUCAGCGCCUGCCCGAACCUACCAUCCAUUAGCAGCCACUGGAGCGGUACAUGGCAUGCCACCACCUAAUCAGUUGAUGCAGCCGCCAGGGAAUGAACAAGUGUAUCGAGGGCCCCAACCCACAAUCCCAAAGUUCAUUCACCCGGAUCCCAGUGAAUUUGCGCGGCUUCGCAUAGCUCUAGAAAACCUACUCCCAUCUAAUGCUACAGAACUCUUCAAGUAUCAAAUACUUGUGGAUCAUUUAAAGCUGGAGGAAGCUAAGCUUAUAGCUGAUGCUUAUCUAAACUCACCCAACCCCUAUAGUGACACUAUGUCAGCCCUCCAUGACAAAUUUGGUCAUCCUCAUCAACUUGCCUUAAAGAAGAUAGCAAGUGUUCUAGAAACCCCCGAAGUAAGGCGUGGUGAUACUAUGGCAUUCCAGAAGUUCUCUCUUCAGAUACAAUCUUUAGUGGGCUUGUUGCGGACUCUAGGUCCUGAAGGGGAAAUUGAACUCAACUGUGGCUCACAUGUUGCUCGUCUGCUGAGUAAGCUCCCUCCGGAACAGCGAGCUGAUUUCCGUCGACAUCAGUUCAAGCAGUUAGGGGCGACCCACACGCUACAUGAUUUGGCAGAAUGGCUCCGCUAUGAAUCAUGGUGUCAGGGCUUCGACAGUCAGGCUACUGGACGCAGCAUAAAGGAAAGGCAGAAUUUGAAGACUGAUGGUCGUCCUGGAAGACAAACAGUGACCGUCCUACAUGGAGCUGGUGAGUCAAGAGAGACAGCAUCUUUGUACCAAAAAGAGAGUUCAACCAGCAGAGGGGUCAAGAGUAAAGCUUACUGUGCCUACUGUGAGAGUACUGAGCAUUAUCUUAGUCAAUGCAGUGCAGUCACCAAACUCUCCAAAGAUCAGCUUAGAGAGUGGAUACGGGUUAACAAGCGGUGUUGGCGUUGUGCACGAACUCACCAAGCCGCUCAGUGCACAUUGAAGAAACCUUGCAACAUCUGUCAGGGAAAACACUUACUGGCUCUUCAUGAGAUAAAUACAAGAGCAGAGAGGGGCAAUAAAGAUGUAGCUGUUAAAGAAGAGAGCUGCUUAACCAGCUCUGCGGCUGACUCGCUCUACCUGGACAGACCUGGAGCCGGGAAUCGAGUCAUGUUAAAGGUCGUCCCUGUGCUUGUACAUUAUGAGGACCGAACCCUUGAUACCUUUGCGAUCCUUGAUGAUGGGUCAGAGAGGACCAUGUUGUUGCCAGCAGCAGCUAAGUUUCUUGGCAUAAAGGGCACUCCUGAAGCGCUUCCUUUGCGUACAGUCCGACAGGACAUCCAGAUCCUCCAUGGCCACACGGUGUCUUUCCAUGUCUCACCAGCCGCAAACCCUCACACCAGCUAUAAGAUCAAUGGUGCCUUCACGGCUGGCCGCCUCAGCCUAGCACAGCACACUUACCCCAUUGACCGUCUGAAGAGGAAAUACAAAUACCUAAGUGGCAUUCCCCUACCUGCCUUAAGAGAUGCUCAACCUACACUCCUUGUAGGCUCUGACAACCCUCAGCUGAUAACACCUGUCGAACCAGUCAGGCUUGGUCCACCAGGUGGCCCAGCCGCAGUCUGUACCAGGCUCGGGUGGACUCUUCAAGGCCCUACCCCAUUCAGGGGGCGGCCAAUCCAACCUGCACAGUGUCUGUUUACGUCAUCUGCGCCACCAAUGGAUGAGCUUUACAAGCAUGUUGAGAGGCUCUGGCAAGUAGACACUGUACCUUACCGACAUGAAAGAGAGGUGACGCGGUCGAAGCUGGAUCAGCAGGCUGUAGCAUUGCUUGAAGCCAAGACGGUCCGUACUAAUGUAGAUGGAAUUCUUAGGUACGCCACACCAUUGCUGCGCCAUCCAAGCAUGCCACCUUUGCACUCGCCAAAGGAGUCAGUUAUGCCCAUGUUACGUAGUACUGAGAGGCGACUCUUAAAGGACCCUAAAUUAGCAGAUGCGUACAAGAUGGAAAUGCAGAAGCUCAUAGAAACGGGUGCUGUGAGGGAAGUCACUGAGGAGACCUCUACCAAAGAAGGAUGGUACAUCUCACAUCAUCUCGUCAGCCACAACGGAAAGAACCGCCUGGUCUUUAACUGUUCUCACCAGUACCUCGGGCAGACCCUGAACCAGUACCUGCUACCUGGCCCUACCCUUGGUGCCCCCUUGCUGGGAGUCUUAUUGAGAUUUCGUGAACGUCCCAUAGCUGUUAGUGGAGACAUCAAGGGGAUGUUUCAUCAAGUCCGCCUCAUCCCUGAAGAUCGCCACCUUCUAAGGUUCCUGUGGCGGGACCUGAAGGUAGAAGAAACCCCAAGAACAUUUGAGUGGCAAGUUUUGCCUUUCGGCACAACCUGUAGCCCGUGCUGUGCGAUAUACGCCCUGCAGCGCCAUGUUGUUGACCACUGCCAGCCGGACGAUGACCUGAGAUUCUCGGUUGAGAACUGCUUUUACGUAGAUAACUGCCUGCAGAGCGUGAGUACACAGAGUGAAGCUAAACUGCUGGUGGAUCGCCUCAGGGAUCUUCUGAUUUCUGCAGGAUUUGAGUUGCGUCAAUGGGCUUGCAACAAUCCAGAUGUCCUGAGUCAUUUGCCUCAAGAGGCCAGAUCUGAAAGCCUGGACCUGUGGCUGGCGCAGGAUAAGUCCAAUCCUCUGGAGUCAACACUCGGUCUCAGCUGGAAUUGGGCAACCGACUCCUUGGGUUACAAACAUAGGCCUGUGUCCUACGAGGUACCAACUCUGAGGAACAUUUACAGAGUUCUAGCUACUCAAUACGAUCCCUUGGGAUACAUGUUACCUUUCUCUACCCGAGCGAAGCUCAUCAUCAGGCAGCUGUGGGAUAAGAAGCGAGGCUGGGAUGACUCUAACUUACCCGCCGAACUCCUGCAAGCCUGGUCCAGCUGGGAGGCUGAACUGGAGUCCUUACCUUUCCUCACAUUUCCACGUGCAUAUGUUCCGGCGGACGCCAACCUUGAGGGUGCUACCCGUGAGGUGCACAUCUUCGCAGAUGUGUCUGAGCAGGCUUAUGGAGCUGUAGCCUACAUGAGAACUGAGGACAGGGAAGGCCAGAUCCACCUGUCGUUCAUCCUUGCUCGUUCACGAGUAGCUCCAAGACGCCUGCAUUCUAUCCCACGCCUGGAGCUUUGUGGAGCUCUGGUUGCAGCACAGCUGGCUCAUGUCCUUGAGAGGGAACUAAGCUUGACAGUGGCUCGAACUGUGUUGUGGUCAGACUCCACUACAGUCCUAACCUGGCUACACUCCCAGUCUUGCCGAUACAAGGUCUUCGUAGGUGCCAGAAUAGCUGAGAUACAGGAGUUAACAGGAAAGUGCACUUGGCGCUAUGUGGACUCAUGUGGAAUAAUCCUGCUGAUGAUCUGA
ensembl:lncRNA